AGCAAGAGAUUGCAUGCAAUGUGUUCGUCGCAUAGGAUUGGGAGGCAUGGGAAAUAAAAGCAAUGCAGGACUCUAGGCUUUCUCUGCUAGAGUGGGAAUUAAUAUACGUUGAUUGUGCUAGGUCAGCCAGGUUUUUUUUUUCCAAGAACACAAGGGAUAAACAGGCCUCUCUUGGUUGAAGCAAAUGGAGAUGUAAAAUCUCGCUUUGUCCCAUGUUGCAUCUUUUCCGAGUUUUGGUCUAAAUUUUAGAAGCUUUUAUUUCAGAGGUAUGUUGGUUGUUAGGAUACAAUUGUACAGUACUAACGGAGACUUAGUGGACAGUGAUGGUAUAUUGUAGAAGAUAGAAAAAACGAUGGUAAAUUAUAGAGAAUGACAAGUCAGUGAUAUAUUAUAGAUCGGUGGCAAACUCAGUAGCACAUAGCGGAUUCUCUUUAACAUUUAUUGAUACUUCAUGGAUUUUAUAAGCAUUAAUACACAAACACGCCCAUACAUAUAUACAUAUAUUCAUGUGUGUGUAUCCAUGCUCAACAGGUUGCAUGUUACACAGAUAAAACACGAUUUAAUAGAGGAGAUGUAUAAGAAGGAAAGAAAGGCUCUCACACAAGAGAGAAUGCACAAUCAAAAGACAUGAUAGUUUUUGAGUCUCUAGAUGUUCAACUAAAGCUUAGAGAGUUCAACACAAGCAGAAAUGCAUUUUAUGAGCACAUAUCAUUGUGAGAUGCAUUCAGUGAAUGCUCAUGGUUAUUGGUUAACGACAGCCAUGUGAGAUGGGAGUAGGAGGCCUUGAGAAUGUAAAGAGUGCAAUGUAUAAAUGAACAGCUUGUAAGUUCAGACAAUAGAGUUUAUGAAUAUGUAAUGAAGACUUAUUAGCUCCUAGCUUUUUUAUGAUUUAACAGCGUCAUGUGUUCUGAAAAAGAAUUAGCACUCCUGAGAGCGAACUCGACUUUGAAGAAGAUACUCUAGACAUU
rnacentral:lncRNA from 1 species